rnacentral:rRNA from 1 species
UGAGGAAUCUUCCACAAUGGGCGAAAGCCUGAUGGAGCAACGCCGCGUGCAGGAUGAAGGCCUUCGGGUCGUAAACUGCUUUUAUAAGUGAAGAAUAUGACGGUAACUUAUGAAUAAGCACCGGCUAACUACGUGCCAGCAGCCGCGGUCAUACGUAGGGUGCAAGCAUUAUCCGGAGUGACUGGGCGUAAAGAGUUGCGUAGGUGGACAAGUAAGCGAAUAGUGAAAUCCGACGGCUCAACCGUACGGACUAUUACUCGAACUGCUUGUCUCGAGAAUGGUAGAGGUAACUGGAAUUUCUAGUGUAGGAGUGAAAUCCGUAGAUAUUAGAAGGAACACCAAUGGCGUAGGCAGGUUACUGGACCAUUUCUGACACUGAGGCACGAAAGCGUGGGGAGCGAACCG